rnacentral:rRNA from 1 species
UUGUCGUCAGCUCGUGUCGUGAGAUGUUGGGUUAAGUCCCGCAACGAGCGCAACCCUCGCCUCUAGUUGCCAGCAUCGGUUGGGCGCUCUAGAGGGACUGCCGGCGACAAGUCGGAGGAAGUGGGGAUGACGUCAAAUCAUCAUGCCCCUUAUGACCUGGGCUACACACGUGCUACAAUGGGCGGUACAAAGGGCUGCGAACCCGCGAGGGGGAGCGAAUCCCAAAAAGCCGCUACUCAGUUCGGAUUGCAGGCUGCAACUCGCCUGCAUGAAGCCGGAAUCGCUAGUAAUCGCGGAUCAGCAUGCCGCGGUGAAUACGUUCCCGGGCCUU